rnacentral:rRNA from 1 species
GACGUAGGAGGCGAGCGUUAUCCGGAUUUACUGGGCGUAAAGGGCAUGUAGGCGGUUCUGCAAGUCGUGUGUGCAAGCCCCCGGCUCAACUGGGGGAGGACAUGCGAGACGGUAGGACUGGAGGGCAGCAGAGGAGCGUGGAACUCCCGGUGUAGCGGUGGAAUGCGUAGAGAUCGGGAAGAACACCAGUGGCGAAGGCGGCGCUCUGGGCUGCAACUGACGCUGAGAUGCGAAAGUGUGGGGAGCAAACGGG